AACGCAUAUUGCGCCCCUUGGUAUUCCGGGGGGCACACCUGUUCGAGCGCCAUUUCGACCCUCAAGCAAAUCUUGGUGUUGGGUGAGGCCCUAAAAAUUAGGACCAUCCCGUAACUCGUAGGCGGUCAUCAUCCGCACCCCCGGCGUAGCAGGCUAACGCACUCGCUUUGGGGACUGAUGGUGUUGUUGCCCACUGAAUUUUACAAAGGUUUGGCCUCGGAUCAGGUGGGGAUACCCGCUGAACUUAA
rnacentral:misc_RNA from 1 species